AAAGUGGACUCAGUGGCUGCGGAUCGUAGGUUUCCUACGAUAUGAGGAAAGUCCGGGCUCCACAGGGCAAAAUGCUGGUUAACGACCAGGCGGGGUAACCCGACGGAUAGCGCCGCAGAAAAGAAGACUCCCACCACAUCGCAUGCCGAUGUAAGAGAAAAGCUGAAACGGUAGUGUAAAAGACUACCAGCACGGUAGCAAUAUCGUGGCUUGGCAAGCCCCAUUUGGAGCAAACGCGAAUAGGAAUGUAAUAGAUCGGCCCGAUCUGCAUUCGGGUAGCGCGCUUGAGGAAUCUGGUAACAGAUUCUCUAGAUAAAUAGUCACUCUCGACAGAACCCGGCUUAUAGGUCCACUUUGCAC
rfam:Atopobium vaginae DSM 15829 Contig27.fasta, whole genome shotgun sequence.